rnacentral:tRNA from 1 species
CGUCUAGAGGCCCAGGACACCGCCCUUUCACGGCGGUAACAGGGGUUCGAAUCCCAUA